rnacentral:rRNA from 1 species
CCUACGGGCGGCUGCAGUGAGGAAUAUUGGUCAAUGGACGAGAGUCUGAACCAGCCAAGCCGCGUGAAGGAUGACUGCCCCAGGGGUUGUAAACUUCUUUUAUAUGGGAAUAAAAUGUUCCACGUGUGGGAUUUUGUAUGUACCAUAUGAAUAAGGAUCGGCUAACUCCGUGCCAGCAGCCGCGGUAAUACGGAGGAUCCGAGCGUUAUCCGGAUUUAUUGGGUUUAAAGGGAGCGUAGGUGGAUUGUUAAGUCAGUUGUGAAAGUUUGCGGCUCAACCGUAAAAUUGCAGUUGAAACUGGCAGCCGUGAGUACAGUAGAGGUGGGCGGAAUUCGUGGUGUAGCGGUGAAAUGCUUAGAUAUCACGAAGAACUCCGAUUGCGAAGGCAGCUUACUGGACUGCAACUGACACUGAGGCUCGAAAGUGUGGGUAUCAAACAGGAUUAGAUACCCUAGUAGUC